rnacentral:siRNA from 1 species
UCAAUGCGUUGAAAGUGACUA